rnacentral:rRNA from 1 species
AGCGAACGCUGGCGGCAGGCUUAACACAUGCAAGUCGAACGGGCGUAGCAAUACGUCAGUGGCAGACGGGUGAGUAACGCGUGGGAACGUACCUUUUGGUUCGGAACAACACAGGGAAACUUGUGCUAAUACCGGAUAAGCCCUUACGGGGAAAGAUUUAUCGCCGAAAGAUCGGCCCGCGUCUGAUUAGCUAGUUGGUGAGGUAAUGGCUCACCAAGGCGACGAUCAGUAGCUGGUCUGAGAGGAUGAUCAGCCACAUUGGGACUGAGACACGGCCCAAACUCCUACGGGAGGCAGCAGUGGGGAAUAUUGGACAAUGGGGGCAACCCUGAUCCAGCCAUGCCGCGUGAGUGAUGAAGGCCCUAGGGUUGUAAAGCUCUUUUGUGCGGGAAGAUAAUGACGGUACCGCAAGAAUAAGCCCCGGCUAACUUCGUG